CUACGGGGCGCAGCAGUGAGGAAUAUUGCACAAUGGGGGGAACCCCGAUGCAGCAACGCCGCGUGGAGGAUGACGCAUUUCGGUGUGUAAACUCCUUUUAUAUGUCAAGAAAAUGACGGUAGCAUAUGAAUAAGCACCGGCUAACUCCGUGCCAGCAGCCGCGGUAAUACGGAGGGUGCAAGCGUUACUCGGAAUCACUGGACGUAAAGGACGCGUAGGCGGGUUGGGAAGUCAGGUGUGAAAUCCUACAGCUUAACUGUAGAACUGCACUUGAAACUUCUAAUCUAGAGUAUGGGAGGGGGAGAUGGAAUUAGUGGUGUAGGGGUAAAAUCCGUAGAUAUCACUAGGAAUACCUAAAGCGAAGGCGAUCUCCUGGAACAUUACUGACGCUAAGGCGUGAAAGCGUGGGGAGCAAACAGGAUUAGAUACCCUCGUAGUC
rnacentral:rRNA from 1 species